UAGGGAAUAUUGCUCAAUGGGCGAAAGCCUGAAGCAGCAACGCCGCGUGCGCGAUGAAGGUCUUCGGAUCGUAAAGCGCUUUUCUGCGAGAUGAGAAAGGACAGUAUCGUAGGAAUAAGUCUCGGCUAACUACGUGCCAGCAGCCGCGGUAACACGUAGGAGGCGAGCGUUAUCCGGAUUCACUGGGCGUAAAGCGCGUGCAGGCGGUUUGGUAAGUUGGGCGUGAAAGCUCCCGGCUCAACUGGGAGAGGUCGUUCAAUACUACCAAACUAGAGAGUAGAAGAGGAAGAUGGAAUUCCCGGUGUAGUGGUGAAAUGCGUAGAUAUCGGGAGGAACACCAGUGGCGAAGGCGAUCUUCUGGUCUAUUUCUGACGCUCAGACGCGACAGCUAGGGUAGUAAACGGGAUUAGAGACCCCGGUAAUCCUAGCCGUAAACGAUGUGAACUUGGCGUCGGUGGCUUAAACACCAUCGGUGCCGAAGCAAACGCGAUAAGUUCACCGCCUGGGGACUACGGCCGCAAGGUUAA
rnacentral:rRNA from 1 species